rnacentral:rRNA from 1 species
GAUGAACGCUGGCGGCGUGCCUAAUACAUGCAAGUCGAGCGAACGGACGAGAAGCUUGCUUCUCUGAUGUUAGCGGCGGACGGGUGAGUAACACGUGGAUAACCUACCUAUAAGACUGGGAUAACUUCGGGAAACCGUAGCUAAUACCGGAUAAUAUUUUGAACCGCAUGGUUCAAAAGUGAAAGACGGUCUUGCUGCCACUUAUAGAUGGAUCCGCGCUGCAUUAUCUAGUUGGUAAGGUAACGGCUUACCAAGGCAACGAUGCAUAGCCGACCUGAGAGGGUGAUCGGCCACACUGGAACUGAGACACGGUCCAGACUCCUACGGGAGGCAGCAGUAGGGAAUCUUCCGCAAUGGGCGAAAGCCUGACGGAGCAACGCCGCGUGAGUGAUGAAGGUCUUCGGAUCGUAGAACUCUGUUAUUAGGGAAGAACAUAUGUGUAAGUAACUGUGCACAUCUUGACGGUACCUAAUCAGAAAGCCACGGCUAACUACGUG